ACACAUGCAGUCGAGCGGGCCCUUCGGGGUCAGCGGCAGACGGGUGAGUAACACGUGGGAACGUACCCUUUGGUUCGGAAUAACGCUGGGAAACUAGCGCUAAUACCGGAUACGCCCUUUUGGGGAAAGGCUUGCUGCCGAAGGAUCGGCCCGCGUCUGAUUAGCUAGUUGGUGGGGUAAUGGCCUACCAAGGCGACGAUCAGUAGCUGGUCUGAGAGGAUGAUCAGCCACACUGGGACUGAGACACGGCCCAGACUCCUACGGGAGGCAGCAGUGGGGAAUAUUGGACAAUGGGCGCAAGCCUGAUCCAGCCAUGCCGCGUGAGUGAUGAAGGCCUUAGGGUUGUAAAGCUCUUUUGUCCGGGACGAUAAUGACGGUACCGGAAGAAUAAGCCCCGGCUAACUUCGUGCCAGCAGCCGCGGUAAUACGAAGGGGGCUAGCGUUGCUCGGAAUCACUGGGCGUAAAGGGCGCGUAGGCGGCCAUUCAAGUCGGGGGUGAAAGCCUGUGGCUCAACCACAGAAUUGCCUUCGAUACUGUUUGGCUUGAGUUUGGUAGAYGUUGGUGGAUCUGCGAGUGUAGACGUGAAACUCGUAGAUAUCGCUAGAGCAUCAGUGGCGUAUGCAGUCUACUGAUCGAUACUGACGCUGAUGCGCGUAUGCGUGGGAGCAACAGAUAGAUAUCCUGCUAGUCACGUCGUAACGAUGAUGCUAGCUGCUAGAGUGC
rnacentral:rRNA from 1 species